rnacentral:rRNA from 1 species
AUUGAACGCUGGCGGCAUGCCUUACACAUGCAAGUCGAACGGCAGCACGGGAGCUUGCUCCUGGUGGCGAGUGGCGAACGGGUGAGUAAUAUAUCGGAACGUACCCUAGAGUGGGGAUAACGCAGCGAAAGUUGCGCUAAUACCGCAUACGAUCUACGGAUGAAAGUGGGGGAUCGCAAGACCUCAUGCUCAUGGAGCGGCCGAUAUCUGAUUAGCUAGUUGGUGGGGUAAAGGCCUACCAAGGCAUCGAUCAGUAGCUGGUCUGAGAGGACGACCAGCCACACUGGAACUGAGACACGGUCCAGACUCCUACGGGAGGCAGCAGUGGGGAAUUUUGGGACAAUGGGGGGCAACCCUGAUCCAGCAAUGCCGCGUGAGUGAAGAAGGCCUGG